rnacentral:rRNA from 1 species
GACGAACGCUGGCGGCGUGCUUAACACAUGCAAGUCGAACGGAAAGGCCCUGAUUUUGUGGGGUGAUCGAGUGGCGAACGGGUGAGUAACACGUGAGUAACCUGCCCUUGACUUUGGGAUAACUUCAGGAAACUGGGGCUAAUACAGGAUAGGAGCUCCUGCUGCAUGGUGGGGGUUGGAAAGUUUCGGCGGUUGGGGAUGGACUGGCGGCUUAUCAGCUUGUUGGUGGGGGAGUGGCUUACCAAGGAUUUGACGGGUAGCCGGCCUGAGAGGGUGACCGGCCACAUUGGGACUGAGAGACGGCGCAGACGCCUACGGGAGGCAGCAGUGGGGAAUAUUGUACAAUGGGCGGAAGCCUGAUGCAGCAACGCCGCGUGCGUGAUGACGGCCUGCGGGGUGUAAACCGCUGUCGCCUGUGACGAAGCGGGAGUGACGGUAAUGGGUAAAGAAGCACCGGCUAACUACGUG